rnacentral:rRNA from 1 species
UACGAAGGGGGCUAGCGUUGCUCGGAAUCACUGGGCGUAAAGGGUGCGUAGGCGGGUCUUUAAGUCAGGGGUGAAAUCCUGGAGCUCAACUCCAGAACUGCCUUUGAUACUGAAGAUCUUGAGUUCGGGAGAGGUGAGUGGAACUGCGAGUGUAGAGGUGAAAUUCGUAGAUAUUCGCAAGAACACCAGUGGCGAAGGCGGCUCACUGGCCCGAUACAGACGCUGAGGCACGAAAGCGUGGGGAGCAAACAGG